CAAAUUUUUGCUUUCGUUUAAAUUAAUUCAAAAACAUUCUCUAGAAUUAGCAUAUGGAAAAACAAUUUCUGGACACGUACACAAUUCCCUGGUGUUAUUGGAGCAAUAGAUGGAACGCAUAUAGCAAUUGUUCCACCAAAUGCUGAGAGAGAACAUCUCUAUAUUAAUCGAAAAUUAUAUUAUUCAUAGAAUGUAUCGGAUUACGAGGGUAAAAUUUUGGCCGUGAAUGCUGCACAUGGUGGAAGAACACACGAUGCCAGAGUUUGGAGAGCAUCUCUUCUAUCUAAUCAUUUGCAAGAUAUGUAUGCAAGAGGACGAAAAGAUGCUUGGCUUUUAGGUGAUAGUGCUUAUUUGCUAUUGCCGUAUUUAAUGACACCUAAAUUGAAUGAACCUGAAGGUACACCAUCAGCAAGAUAUACACAGUGCCAUGUCCAAACUCGGUCUUGUGUAGAACGAUGCAUAGGUAUCUUAAAGGGGAGAUGGCGAUGCCUCAGAAAAGAGAGAACUCUGCAUUACACAUCAGAAG
rnacentral:lncRNA from 13 species